CCUACGGGAGGCAGCAGUGAGGAAUAUUGGUCAAUGGACGAGAGUCUGAACCAGCCAAGUAGCGUGAAGGAUGACUGCCCUAUGGGUUGUAAACUUCUUUUAUAUGGGAAUAAAAUGUUCCACGUGUGGGAUUUUGUAUGUACCAUAUGAAUAAGGAUCGGCUAACUCCGUGCCAGCAGCCGCGGUAAUACGGAGGAUCCGAGCGUUAUCCGGAUUUAUUGGGUUUAAAGGGAGCGUAGGUGGAUUGUUAAGUCAGUUGUGAAAGUUUGCGGCGCAACUGUAAAAUUGCAGUUGAAACUGGCAGUCUUGAGUACAGUAGAGGUGUGCGGAAUUCGUGGUGUAGCGGUGAAAUGCUUAGAUAUCACGAAGAACUCCGAUUGCGAAGGCAGUUCACUGGACUGCAACUGACACUGAGGCUCGAAAGUGUGGGUAUCAAACAGGAUUAGAUACCCUAGUAGUC
rnacentral:rRNA from 1 species